rnacentral:rRNA from 1 species
UGGGGAAUAUUGCGCAAUGGGGGGAGCCCUGACGCAGCCAUGCCGCGUGAAUGAAGAAGGCCUUAGGGUUGUAAAGUUCUUUCGGUAUUGAGGAAGGUUGAUGUGAUAAUAGCACAUCAAAUUGACGUUAAAUACAGAAGAAGCACCGGCUAACUCCGUGCCAGCAGCCGCGGUAAUACGGAGGGUGCGAGCGUUAAUCGGAAUAACUGGGCGUAAAGGGCACGCAGGCGGUUAUUUAAGUGAGGUGUGAAAGCCCUGGGCUUAACCUAGGAAUUGCAUUUCAGACUGGGUAACUAGAGUACUUUAGGGAGGGGUAGAAUUCCACGUGUAGCGGUGAAAUGCGUAGAGAUGUGGAGGAAUACCGAAGGCGAAGGCAGCCCCUUGGGAAUGUACUGACGCUCAUGUGCGAAAGCGUGGGGAGCAAACAGGAUUAGAUACCCUGGUAGUCCACGCUGUAAACGCUGUCGAUUUGGGGGUUGGGGUUUAACUCUGGCGCCCGUAGCUNACGUGAUAAAUCGACCGCCUGGGGAGUACGGCCGCAAGGUUA